UUUCUAACUCGGCCUUCCAUUGCUAUCUGUCUUUCUCUGUGAUCCAGGAGGAAAGAUGCUGGCUUCUUAUCCUACAAAGAUCAUCUGCCAGUGAGCCAGGUGGUGGUUGGAGAUACUGACCGGCAAGGUUCAGAAGCCAAACUGAGCGUGGGUCCCCUGCGCUGCCAAGGAGACAGGAAUUACUGGAAUGCCGCCUCUUUCCCGAACCCAUCAUCCUACCUGCACUUCUCCACGUUCCAAGGGGAAACCAGCGCGGACAUUUCUUUCUAUUUCAAGACAUUAAUCCCCCGGGGAGUGUUUCUUGAAAACCUGGGGAACACAGAUUUCAUCAAGUUGGAGCUGAAAUGUGAGUAUUUGUUCUCUAUCGACUUUGAGCGGCACCUUUGUGCCUGCAGGCUGGUCCUGGCCAGGGUGGUGAU
rnacentral:lncRNA from 1 species